CAUUGGAAUCUAUUGGCUACAAAAUAUUCCCCUGCGCUAAAGUCAUGGCAUAAAAGGGGCUGAAAUCCUGGGCUUUCUGGGCAGAAGGAUCUACGAGCGGGAUCGUGGGUGAAACAUGAAGAUGAUGGUGGACAGGUGAGCUACGCAGUUCGUGGAAGAACCAGGGGUCACAUGGCCUAGAUGCUACCCUAGAUGAGAAAGAGUCCAAUGGUUAUCAACAAGUUCUGAAAGGCAAGGCCUAAGGUACUGAAAAUUAUAUUACUCAAAGCUGAAGGCAGCAAAUCUGUUCAUGUUUACACAGUUGGGAAAGUGGACUUGUGUUUUUUACAAGCAAACCAGUGACCAGCCAAUGGCAGGAGACCUUCCCCACCCCUAAAGGUGAUGCUCACCUACCGUCAUGGGUAAAAGGAAGCUCUGGCUCGAAUUCCUCAUGUAUUAUUCAUGUGUGAUGCCACCCAACGUGAUUCAGAGAAGAAAAUUCUCAGUGUGUUCACCAGAGGUGAUUACAUGAGAAUAAAGCACGGCCUGAUUUUUUUUCUUGUUCACAGGAAAAAAAAAA
rnacentral:lncRNA from 1 species